rnacentral:rRNA from 1 species
UACGGAGGGUGCAAGCGUUAUCCGGAUUCACUGGGUUUAAAGGGUGCGUAGGAGGGCAGGUAAGUCCGUGGUGAAAUCCUAGAGCUUAACUCUAGAACUGCCGUGGAUACUAUCUGUCUUGAAUCCCGUGGAGAUGAGCGGAAUAUGUCAUGUAGCGGUGAAAUGCUUAGAUAUGACAUAGAACACCAAUUGCGAAGGCAGCUCGUUACACGAAGAUUGACUCUGAGGCACGAAAGCGUGGGGAUCAAACAGG